GACACUCAAGAACGAAAGCGUGGGAGCGAACAGGAUUAGAUACCCUGGUAGUCCACGCCGUAAACGAUGCAGACUAGCUAUUCGGAGUAUCGACCCUCUGUGUAGCGAAGCUAACGCGUGAAGUCUGCCGCCUGGGAAGCACGGUCGCAAGACUAAAACUCAAAGGAAUUGACGGGGGCUCGCACAAGCGGUGGAGCAUGUGGUUUAAUUCGACGCUAAGCGAGGAACCUUACCCGUUCUUGACAUCUCUGGAACCCUGUAGAAAUACGGGGGUGCCUUCGGGAGCCAGAUGACAGAUGAUGCACGGUCGUCGUCAGUUCGUGGCGUGAGCUGUACCCUUAAGUGGGCAAACGAACGAAACCCCUGUCCUGUGUUGCAUUUCACGGGAGACUGCCUCAUUCAAUGGGGAGGAAGGCGGGGAUGACGCCAGAUCAGCGUGUCUCUUACGACCGGGGCGACACACGUGCUACAAUGGCAAGUAACAACGGGUUGCGAAGCCGUAAGGUGGAGCUAAUCCCUUAAACCUUGCCUCAGUUCGGAUUGUGGGCUGCAACUCGCCCACAUGAAGUUGGAAUCGCUAGUAAACGCGGAUCAGCCGUGCCGCGUUGAAUACGUUCUCGAGCCUUGUACACACCGCCCGUCAAGUGAGCCGAGUUGGCAAUGCCCGAAGCACUACUCUGUAGUACCACGGCAGGGUCAGCGAGGAGCACUAAGUCGUAACAAGGUAACCAAGGG
rnacentral:rRNA from 1 species